AGAGUUUGAUCCUGGCUCAGGACGAACGCUGGCGGCGUGCUUAACACAUGCAAGUCGAACGAGAAUCUGCUGAAGGAGGAUUCGUCCAACGGAAGUAGAGGAAAGUGGCGGACGGGUGAGUAACGCGUGAGGAACCUGCCUUGAAGAGGGGGACAACAGUUGGAAACGACUGCUAAUACCGCAUGACGCAUAGGGGUCGCAUGAUCUUUAUGCCAAAGAUUUAUCGCUUCAAGAUGGCCUCGCGUCUGAUUAGCUGGUUGGCGGGGUAACGGCCCACCAAGGCGACGAUCAGUAGCCGGACUGAGAGGUUGAACGGCCACAUUGGGACUGAGAUACGGCCCAGACUCCUACGGGAGGCAGCAGUGGGGAAUAUUGGGCAAUGGGCGCAAGCCUGACCCAGCAACGCCGCGUGAAGGAAGAAGGCUUUCGGGUUGUAAACUUCUUUUAAGAGGGAAGAGCAGAAGACGGUACCUCUAGAAUAAGCCACGGCUAACUACGUGCCAGCAGCCGCGGUAAUACGUAGGUGGCAAGCGUUGUCCGGAUUUACUGGGUGUAAAGGGCGUGCAGCCGGGUCUGCAAGUCAGAUGUGAAAUCCAUGGGCUCAACCCAUGAACUGCAUUUGAAACUGUAGAUCUUGAGUGUCGGAGGGGCAAUCGGAAUUCCUAGUGUAGCGGUGAAAUGCGUAGAUAUUAGGAGGAACACCAGUGGCGAAGGCGGAUUGCUGGACGAUAACUGACGGUGAGGCGCGAAAGUGUGGGGAGCAAACAGGAUUAGAUACCCUGGUAGUCCACACUGUAAACGAUGAAUACUAGGUGUGCGGGGACUGACCCCCUGCGUGCCGCAGUAAACACAAUAAGUAUUCCACCUGGGGAGUACGAUCGCAAGGUUGAAACUCAAAGGAAUUGACGGGGGCCCGCACAAGCGGUGGAUUAUGUGGUUUAAUUCGAAGCAACGCGAAGAACCUUACCAGGGUUUGACAUCCUGCUAACGAAGUAGAGAUACAUUAGGUGCCCUUCGGGGAAAGCAGAGACAGGUGGUGCAUGGUUGUCGUCAGCUCGUGUCGUGAGAUGUUGGGUUAAGU
rnacentral:rRNA from 1 species